CACAUGCAAGUCGAGCGGAGAUGAGGUGCUUGCACCUUAUCUUAGCGGCGGACGGGUGAGUAAUGCUUAGGAAUCUGCCUAUUAGUGGGGGACAACAUUCCGAAAGGAAUGCUAAUACCGCAUACGUCCUACGGGAGAAAGCAGGGGAUCUUCGGACCUUGCGCUAAUAGAUGAGCCUAAGUCGGAUUAGCUAGUUGGUGGGGUAAAGGCCUACCAAGGCGACGAUCUGUAGCGGGUCUGAGAGGAUGAUCCGCCACACUGGGACUGAGACACGGCCCAGACUCCUACGGGAGGCAGCAGUGGGGAAUAUUGGACAAUGGGGGGAACCCUGAUCCAGCCAUGCCGCGUGUGUGAAGAAGGUCUUAUGGUUGUAAAGCACUUUAAGCGAGGAGGAGGCUACUGAGACUAAUACUCUUGGAUAGUGGACGUUACUCGCAGAAUAAGCACCGGCUAACUCUGUGCCAGCAGCCGCGGUAAUACAGAGGGUGCGAGCGUUAAUCGGAUUUACUGGGCGUAAAGCGUGCGUAGGCGGCUCUUUAAGUCGGAUGUGAAAUCCUCCGAGCUUAACUUGGGAAUUGCAUUCGAUACUGGGAAGCUAGAGUAUGGGAGAGGAUGGUAGAAUUCCNAGGUGUAGCGGUGAAAUGCGUAGAGAUCUGGAGGAAUACCGAUGGCGAAGGCAGCCAUCUGGCCUAAUACUGACGCUGAGGUACGAAAGCA
rnacentral:rRNA from 1 species